GGAUAGAAAAGACUUUCUCACUAUGACCCCACUGGGAAGAAAACCAGUAAAGGAGUCCAGGGACCCCCCAAGCUCAUUUUCUGGGUACUGAGAUGGACUUCUGGUUCAAGGGAAGAAAGAUUGGAGCAAUGGACAAAGAAGUAUGUGGAGCUAAGACAUACUGGUCAAAUCAAGCUCUAGUUGUUCAUUGCCUGUCUGCCUUCUGCUUCUCCAAGGCCAUCAUGAGGAAGUUAUGACUAUCCUUGCUUGAGGAGAGCAAGCUGCUUCUUAGGAAGGUGCCAUUGUUGUUCUGGCUAGUGCCUUAUACUUCCUGUCAUGGAUACUUGCCUCCACUUGGAUGAAGUGUGUUUUGUAUACUCAGUGUUUGGGCAUUGUUUGAAUCCAUGUCACCAAGAUGUUUACCAGUCAGUAAGUUCUGCUUUUCCAGGAAUACAACAUCAACUCAGAGAGGUUAAGAAUGCAGAGACAAAACUAAAUAGGACAAGAUGUAGUUGAUGGUGCUCAUGACUAGGACAGCGAUCCUCCUUCAGUUGCUCUUGAUGGGACAGAUGCUUUUUUUUAAUUUAGUGUUCGAUAUGGGUUUCAUGUUUGCUUCCUCUCCAUCUCAGUCCUUUUGAUCUCUGUCAAAUGAACCCACACAGGAUACUAAGAGCAUCGUGUUGAAGAUAGGUGGAUCAUAUAGUACAGCGGAACUAUAUGAUCAAGGGAUGAGGAAGCCAUUGUACCAGCCUACAUUUAUUUUAGGCAGACUUUAUACAAUUUCUGGAUUUUUUUAAUUUUAAUUUUUUGAUCUCUCUAUAGAGUCCAUCCUAGUGUCACUCACAACAAUCUUUCUUACUUAGUCUUUCAGAGUUCUCCUUUAUACAAAUUACUGUCCAAGUGGUUAUCAGCCCAGUGGCUGUCCUUUUUUAGUGUUCUGGAUUUUUACUAGAGAGGCCAUGGCUAAAUAAUAAUAAUAUUGUUACAGCUCUGUCCAUCCGUCUGCAAAAUAAUAAAUUUACUUAAAUUAUUAGGAGAUUUUAUUUUGUAAUCCCCACCCCUUUUUGUAAUUGAAUUGGGUGGAUCUUGCAUAUAGACAUUGUAGAUUACCAAAGGUUAAAGACUGGAUGAGCCUGGGACCUUCCAGAUAGUUUAGAAUGCCAUGUCUCCACUUAUGGCCAGAAAACAGACACUGGUCCCUUUCUUCAAGCCGGUUAUUGUGGUCCUAGAGUUUUCAUUCCUUUUUUACUGGCAGCUGAUUAUGAAGGAAGGGUUCACGCCCUGUGACUUCCAAAACUGGUAAUACCAAUUCCAUGAUUAUGUUUCCUUUCUUUGUAAAUAAGUAGUUGUUAUAAGAUAUACCCAUAUAUCCAGUUGUGGAGGUGGAAAUUGGCUAACAGUAAAAUAUUCAUUUUUAUUUGAUGGGGAUUUUAUUAGUCUUAGUGAAAUUUCCCUAUGGCAUUCAGUGUUAGAUUAUUGGCUUUUAAAAUGUCACUUGACUGGAAAGAAGUUAAUUAGAGGCUUGCUAGUGUCUAGAAGGCAUGUCAAUUUCUAUAUGUAAUGACAUUCUGGUCUUUUGCUACUAGAAAGAGCAGUUAGUGAAUGUGCUAGUUAUAACACAGACUACCUUAAAAGUCAGGAUUUGGAACAUUUAUGAAACUUGAUUAAAGUUUCAUUUUUUUUCUUUAUGAAUAAAGAUAUAAUAGUAGUAUAUUUUUAAUGAGUUCCUAAUUUUGUAUUUCCAGCAGAGAAUAUAAAAUUUAGCAACUUUUGUACUUCAACUUUUAAAAAAUACUUAUUUUUUAAAUACAUUUAACUUGCGAUAUUUAGGUUUCUAAAACUUUUCAGAUUCUCACAAUAAAUGUCCUUCAUGUUAUAAAAUCUAUGUUUAAAUUGUGUUAAUGUGUGUGUGUUCACAUAUCCAAAUUCCAUGACACAUAUGAGGAAAUCAAAGAACCAAGGGGUUGAGUCUCCUAUAUUUAUUAUAUUUAUGUAGUAUGCAAAUAUAUGAUGUAUAUUAUAUAUUAUAUUUAUAUAUUACAUAGUCAUUGAUAAGACCUUUGUAAAAGCUUAGAAAAAUGAACAUAUCGUAGUGUUAAACUUAAAGGUCAGAACAUGUUAAUGUAAAGAGUGGCCAAAGGGAUGCUUGGAUGAUUUGAUGUGUACUUGAUGCAUAGGAAUUGCAAAUACCAGCAAAUAUUACUUAGAAAGUGUAACAUAUAUUACAAAACCAUUUUGUGACUAAUAUUUUCCAAGAGUCUAACUGUUAUUUGUCUCUUUAAAAGUGAAUUUAAUAUAUUUAUAUUCAAAAAUGUAUUUGCUGUUAAGCUUGUGCUAUAUCUGCCCCUAUAAUUCAACUUAAACAUACCUGAAGUUGAUGAAGCAUCCUACACUUCCUGCUUGCUUCCUCAUACUACAAGGAGUCGAAAUGAAACUGUUUCCAUAUGUGUGUGUAUUCUGAGUUCACAGUCUUUAAAAUCAUCCUUCAGACAUCUAGGAAUACAUUCAGCAAAUAGUAAACCUCGAACUCUUUAUUAUAAAUGUCUCUAUUUGGUGACCAUAGAGUCGUUGAUCUAUUAGCAUCCUUCUCUUUCUAGUGACUGAAAUAUUUGAAAGCGCUUACUAAGAACAGGAUUAUUCUCCAAUCAGUAUCCUAUCUUCACUUCAUUCAAAUGUUUUACC
rnacentral:lncRNA from 1 species